UCYGGUUGAUCCUGCCRGACCCGACUGCUAUCAGAAUAGGACUAAGCCAUGCGAGUCAACGUAGCAAUACGUGGCAUACGGCUCAGUAACACGUAGUCAACAUGCCCAGGGGACGUGGAUAACCUCGGGAAACUGAGGAUAAACCGCGAUAGGUCAUAAUAUCUGGAAUGAUUUCUGGCUAAAAUCUAUAUGGCCCCUGGAUUGGACUGCGGCCGAUCAGGCUGUUGGUGAGGUAAUGGCCCACCAAACCUAAAACCGGUACGGGCUCUGAGAGGAGAAGCCCGGAGAUGGGCACUGAGACAAGGGCCCAGGCCCUAUGGGGCGCAGCAGGCGCGAAAACUCUGCAAUAAGCGAAAGCUUGACAGGGUUAUUCUGAGUGAUUUCCGCUAAGGAAAUCUUUUGGCACCUCUAAAAAUGGUGCAGAAUAAGGGGUGGGCAAGCCUGGUGUCAGCCGCCGCGGUAAUACCAGCACCCCGAGUGGUCGGGACGAUUAUUGGGCCUAAAGCAUCCGUAGCCGGUUCUACAAGUCUUCCGUUAAAUCCACCUGCUUAACAGAUGGGCUGCGGAGGAUACUAUUGAGCUAGGAGGCGGGAGAGGCAAGCGGUACUUAGUGGGUAGGGGUAAAAUCCGUUGAUCCAUUGAAGACCACCAGUGGCGAAGGCGGCUUGCCAGAACGCACUCGACGGUGAGGGAUGAAAGCUGGGGGAGCAAACCGGAUUAGAUAACCGGGUAGUCCCAGCUGUAAACGAUGCAGACUCGGUGAUGAAUAGGCUUCGUGCCUCUUCAGUGCCGCAGGGAAGCCGUUAAGUCUGCCGCCUGGGGAGUACGGUCGCAAGACUGAAACUUAAAGGAAUUGGCGGGGGAGCACCACAAGGGGUGAAGCCUGCGGUUCAAUUGGABUCAACGCCGGR
rnacentral:rRNA from 1 species